GGUUGAUCCUGCCAGAGGUUACUGCUAUCGGUGUUCGCCUAAGCCAUGCGAGUCAUAUGUAGCAAUACAUGGCGUACUGCUCAGUAACACGUGGAUAACCUGCCCUUGGGACCGGCAUAACCCCGGGAAACUGGGGAUAAUUCCGGAUAACGCAUAUUUGCUGGAAUGCUUUAUGCGUCAAAAGGAUUCGUCUGCCCAAGGAUGGGUCUGCGGCCUAUCAGGUAGUAGUGGGUGUAAUGUACCUACUAGCCAGCGACGGGUACGGGUUGUGAGAGCAAGAGCCCGGAGAUGGAUUCUGAGACAUGAAUCCAGGCCCUACGGGGCGCAGCAGGCGCGAAAACUUUACAAUGCGGGAAACCGUGAUAAGGGGACACCGAGUGCCAGCAUCAUAUGCUGGCUGUCCGGAUGUGUAAAAUACAUCCGUUAGCAAGGGCCGGGCAAG
rnacentral:rRNA from 1 species